rnacentral:rRNA from 1 species
AGCGAACAGAUAAGGAGCUUGCUCCUUUGACGUUAGCGGCGGACGGGUGAGUAACACGUGGAUAACCUACCUAUAAGACUGGGAUAACUUCGGGAAACCGGAGCUAAUACCGGAUAACAUAUUGAACCGCAUGGUUCAAUAGUGAAAGGCGGCUUUGCUGUCACUUAUAGAUGGAUCCGCGCCGUAUUAGCUAGUUGGUAAGGUAACGGCUUACCAAGGCAACGAUACGUAGCCGACCUGAGAGGGUGAUCGGCCACACUGGAACUGAGACACGGUCCAGACUCCUACGGGAGGCAGCAGUAGGGAAUCUUCCGCAAUGGGCGAAAGCCUGACGGAGCAACGCCGCGUGAGUGAUGAAGGUCUUCGGAUCGUAAAACUCUGUUAUCAGGGAAGAACAAAUGUGUAAGUAACUGUGCACAUCUUGACGGUACCUGAUCAGAAAGCCACGGCUAACUACGUGCCAGCAGCCGCGGUAAUACGUAGGUGGCAAGCGUUAUCCGGAAUUAUUGGGCGUAAAGCGCGCGUAGGCGGUUUUUUAAGUCUGAUGUGAAAGCCCACGGCUCA